GACGAACGCUGGCGGCGUGCUUAACACAUGCAAGUCGAACGGAAAGGCCCGGCUUUGCUGUGGUGCUCGAGUUGCGAACGGGUGAGUAACACGUGGGUAACCUGCCCUUUACUGGGGGAUAACUUCAGGAAACGGUGGCUAAUACCGGAUAGGAGCUGCUGCUGCAUGGUGUGUGUUGGAAAGUUUCGGUGGUUGGGGAUGCAGUCGCGGCUUAUCUGCUUGUUGGUGGGGGUGUGGAUUACAACGGCUUUGACGGCGAGCCGGCCUGAGAGUGUGACCGGCCACAGUGGGAUUGGGGUGCGGGCCGGAGUGAUACGGGAGGAAGGAGUGGGGAAUAUAGCACGAUGGGCGGAAGGCUGAUGCAGGAACGCCGGGUGGGGGAUGACGGCCGUCGGGUUGUAACCCGUUUUCGCGUGUGAAGAAGCGUGAGUGACGGUAAUGGGUAAAGAAGCAACGGCUAACUACGUG
rnacentral:rRNA from 1 species